AUGGUCCAAAUAUUGUCCCUGAUCCACAACGGAGAUGGUAGACUGACUAGCAUGCCCUACAUACCAGCAGACGUCACAAACCUAAAGGCAAAGUACCGUAGAGAGAGCAGGUUGGCUGACAUAGAACCCACGAUAGCCUACUUUGAAGAGAAAGCAAAAGCAGAUGCUGAUUUCGUCUACAGGAUAAGAUUGGACGAUGAGGACCGUGUCAGAAACAUGUAUUGGAUGGAUGGUGCUGCAAGAAGGGCCUACAAACAUUUCCGUGAUUGCAUAUCAUUCGACAUGACAUAUCUCACUAAUAUGUACAAGAUGCCCUGCGCUCCAUUCAUAGGAAUAAAUAAC
rnacentral:rRNA from 1 species